UUUUUUUUUUCUUCCAGCAGUUUAACUAUGAUGGGUCUUGGUAUGGAUCUCUUUGUAUUUAUCCUACUUGCAGUUCAUUGAGCUUCUCAGAUCUAGAAACGAAUGUCUUUCAUAAAAUUGGGCUCGUGGCUGAUGUAUCUCCUGACAGCCAUCCCUGGGCAGUGACUGUUCAGUAAGGGAGGAGGGAGCCCAGAAGAAGGAGAAGACGGCCUCAGACUGGAGGCUGCCCAGGUCAGCCCUCCGCCCUUCCUGACGUCCUCAGCAUCCAUCCAGGGUCUGAGGGCCCCCAGAACAUCUUUGAUCAAUGUUUGACAAAUCCAUAGAAUCUUCUGGAGAACUCAA